AUGCCAUUAUGUAAUGCAACACAUCACAACAAAUCACAUCUCGGAUGGUAUUGUCACCAAUAGUCCUCUACAUAGUCCAACUGUGCCGGGACGUAGAAUGGGUACAACCGGUCUUUCCCUUAUCAUAACAUAUCAUAACAUACCAAUGUGCCAGGGACGUAGAAUGGGUACAACCUGGACUUUCUCUUACAUCGUGCCAGGGACGUAGAAUGGGUACAACCUGGACUUCCAUACCAUAUCUCAUGCCGUAGCAUCAUCAUAUCAUAUGAGGACUAAAGGGUCAUCCAAUAACCAAUCCACAUCAACAUCAUAAAUGCAAUGCAACAUAUUCGUGAAUACUAAUGCAAACAACCUACUAUAUCUCAUGGCAUUCAUGAUGCAUGGAUCAUGCUCAAAAUUCAUAUUUCAU
rnacentral:lncRNA from 1 species